rnacentral:lncRNA from 1 species
CUGGGGUUUGGCUGUAGCCACAAGUGGGGCCUCUGCAUGUCUCCUGUGGCUGAGCCAUCCCCUGUAGAGCAAGGGGGUGGUGGAUGGCGGGCCUGGGAAGAGGAGGAAGAGCCUAGAAGGGGAAAAAGGAGAGGAGGCAGCACGGGACCAAGCACAAGGCUGAGUGAGUGCCACAGAGGAAUCUAGGAGAAAGGCUGCUGGGUGGUGGAGGACGCCGAAGGCUGAACGCGGGAGUGCUGAACACAUGCCCUCG